UCAAUGCCGUUGAGUUCGUGCCAUAACUCUGGACCUUAGCUAGGUGUGGCGCGUUGAGGCUUUGUGCAUCUUUGCAUUUUCUCUGUGGCCUGGAGACCAGUACCCAGGCUUGGACUCUGCAAAUGGGAAGUUGUCACCAAAAGAAUGACCCGAAGCUGAGCUCAACGUUAUUUGGCACAGGGCUAGAGAAGCGGCUCAGUGAUUGAAUACUCGUCUAGAAAGUGCUUGACCCAAGUCAGUUCUACCAGUAAGACUUGUUUAAAAUGUCUUUAAAUACCUUAAAACGUUAAUGGAAUAUACCUUAGUCUUCUACCGCUUCUUGUCAAAAAUCAAGAGAUUUAAAAACAACACGCGCCCUCGGCUAGGAACCAGGGGUCUCCCCACCCCCAGCCCACCUUCAGAGACUCAGAGCCCGAAGCCGUGACAUCACCAGCCUCCAAAUGCAACACAAUCAUCUCAUCUUCAAGAAGUGAGCGAAAAAGAGAAGAGAGCAAAGUAAAAAAAGGGAGGGGGCAGGGUAAAAAAGAAAGAGAAACCGUACACCCUUUCUGAAAGAACCAAGAAGAGGCCAACAGUCCAGUGGUCAACAUAUGGCAAGAGCCACAGCAGAUCGAACCUCGGCAGAGAGCCUGGUCUUAUAACCCCGUGGUCAAUUGUAAUGGCACAGUAAUCGACAGGCAUGCUACAGCCAUCCCACUGGGAUUCCCUAGAUGAGCUGGCAACCUCAGCUGAUGAAUGUUUUGGCUCCGAGAGGGCUUUUGCCUUACAAAAGCUUAACGACAUAAGCUUUGCUGUUACCAUGCACAGUCUGCAGCUAAGUAAACAGAGGCACAGAGAUACUGACACAACUGGCAAGGUUAUACCUGCAAACUGGACCUGCACCAGAAGGCAGUCUACGACCACCAUGGACUGCUCUCUGACAUGCUACCAGCAAUUGGGUUUUUGUUUUUUGUUCUUUUUAAUAUAUGGAAGAUUUCUCCCCUUUAUAAGACACUUAAUGUUCAGAUAUAAAAAUAAAACUGUCUGGGUCAAACAGUGGUUUGGGGGGUCAUAGAAUUCAACUUGGCCUGUAGUUUCAUUCUUGUCUUCGUGUUAAAUGGUCUGCAUCAAAGAUCUCUGAUUGCCAUCCUGAUCUACCCUUACAUCA